rnacentral:misc_RNA from 1 species
UUUUUUGGGCACUUUAUCCUUCACUGCAGAGGAGAGAAAUAAAGCAUCACCAGCAUCCCAAUUAAGUUAAAAAUGGAAGAGAAAAAUGGUUUCCUAGUUCAAAACUUCAUAAAAGAACUCAUGCAGCAAAAAAUAUUCUAAAAGAACUUUGAAGAUUGCCAUGCCCAAUAAUUCAGAGAUGGGGCCUGGGGACACCAAUUAUGACAAUAAAUGAAAAGAAAAUUUGGAAGAAAGAUCUAAAGGUCAUGGGUGAACACCACAAGUAAACUACUAAAAAAAUUGGCAUAAGGCUGUUCCUUGUUUUACAUAAAAAGUGCGCUAUUAGCACUUAUAACCACCUAGAAUUUCAAUAUCUUAUCGGUUUUGCUGUGUAAAAUCCUUAAUGUCUUGCCCCAUCUAAGCAAAAAUUCAAGCCAUGCAAGAAUCUCAAUUACAGCUGCAAGUGGCAAUCAUAAAACAUGACGCCAAAAAAGAACAUACACGUUACCGCACACUGGUCCAAAGAACAAUCAAUUUCAUCAUUCUGAUCGUUCUUGAAGAUACCAUUUUGCCCCAUCACAAGAGCAGCACUUGGUGCUCCUGCCAGAGCAUUCUCAAGU